AGAGAGAUUAUAUGGGGGAAGAAAGAACAAGAAAGUCAGACCUGAGCCAGGCCUGAGAGGAGGCACUAUGAUCACUCCCAUUUCACUGAUGAAAAAAUGGAGGCUCAGGGAGGUUAGGUGACUUGCCUGACUCACAGUAGAUGGUGGACUUGGGAGUUUGAUGGGACUCCAAUGACUGCACCCUCAGUUACAAGAUUGCCCCACAUUUCUUCCAAAUCUCUCGCUCAAAUCUCCGGCUCAAAUCUCCAAGACAGAGAUCCAGCCUGGACCUCUUAUUUAUUGCCUCCUUCCAACGGCCAGCAAAAAGUGACCGGAGAGGCUUGUGUUUCAUCUGUAGUCGUUGGUGGCUGCUCCGUGGUCCCAGGAUGCCUAUGCUGGAAAGGACCAGAGGAAUUAAUUCAUCCUACUGCCUACUACCAUUUGGACCAGAGGGGAACCCCAAGGCACAAACCAGGCUCUGAGAGCCCAGCUCUGGGCCAGGCCUCCCACCCGAAGAGCCAGCUUUCCAUCACCCAUAUGGUAGGGAGGAUAAUCGGCAGCCAGAGGCCUCCCCAGCCCCUCAGGGCUUGCUGAAGUCUCUCAUCAAGCCAGCCUUACAAAUGCCUCCUUGAUUCCUCGAGCCUCAUCAUUGAAGGGAUUGUGGCUGUGCCUCCAGGGUAUUAUUCAUGUCUCACUAUGUAGGCAGAAUGUCCCAGCCCAGUGCUGGGACAGGGAAGGAUGGGAAGACAGGGCCAUUCCAGGAGGCAGAGGCCAAGGUGUGGAAGAUCACCAGGCCCAGUCCCCCCAUCCCUAGCCUCGGAUAAUGCAGAAUCACUCCUUUGUUGUUUUAUGGGGGUCUUCCCUGGCAUGGAUGAAAAUAAGCCCCCUUCUCACUUUCCCCCACAUGGCUCUCCAUCUGGGGCCACUGAGGGGGUAUGCCUACCUCUCCCCACUGAGCCCCACCUGGUUCUUUUACCCAUCCACACUGGCCUCCACCUCCAGAACCCUCGCCACCCUGAUGUCUGCCCUUUUUUCCAAAGUUGGGAGAACAAACUACAGCCCAAGGGCCAAAUCUGGCCCACCACUUGUUUUUGUAAAUAAAGUUUUAUUGGAGCACA
ensembl:lncRNA novel transcript